rnacentral:piRNA from 1 species
UGUAAACGGCAUCAUCGCAACCGUCGUGGU